AGAAUAAUAAAAUAAUAAAUUAAUGACUCAAGCUUCUAGAAUUGACAUUUCUAGAAUAAAAUAGAUGACUCAAAUAAAUAGACAGAAGUGUUUUCAUAUUACAUAAUAAUCUCCUCUCAUCAAUUCUCAAUUCUCACGCAUCUGUAUUGUCAUUUUGGUGAGACAAAGGUUGAAGCUUUCUUGAAAUGGCUAUGGGACAUCAAGAACAAGCUGGUGUUUCAGAUAAUUGAGAAAGCAACUUGCUCGUAUUGUUAAAGGUAUUGAUCAUGAAUGCUCAGAGAUUGAUCACAGCAGGAAGGAAAAAUACAUUCUGUUCUUGUAGAAUUUAUAAAUGCAUAAUUGCAUAUUGACCAAUGUAAAUAGGCAACAAUCACUGUGAUAUGUGAAAUAAAUAUCAUGUGAGUAUUCAGUAGUA